rnacentral:rRNA from 1 species
GAUGAACGCUAGCGAUAGGCUUAACACAUGCAAGUCGAGGGACCGGCGCACGGGUGCGUAACGCGUAUGCAACCUGCCUGUAAUUAGGGAAUAACCCGGUGAAAGUCGGACUAAUACCAUAUAAUUACAGAUGGGCAUGCGUCCCAUUAGCUAGUUGGUAAGGUAACGGCUUACCCAGGCGACGAUGGGUAGGGGGACUGAGAGGUUGACCCCCCUGACUCGUACUGAGACACGGACCAGACUCCGACGGCAGGCAGCAGGGAGGAAUAGUGGUCAAUGGGAGCGAGCCUGAACCAGCCAAGUCGCGUGAAGGAGGACGGUUUAUGGAUUGUAAACUUCUUUGGUAGAGGAAUAUGUACUCUACGAAUAAGUAUCGGCUAACUCCGUGCCAGCCGCCGCGGUAAUAC